rnacentral:rRNA from 1 species
CAGUAGCCGCGGUAAUACGUAGGGUGCGAGCGUUAAUCGGAAUUACUGGGCGUAAAGCGUGCGCAGGCGGUGAUGUAAGACAGUUGUGGAAUCCCCGGGCUCAACCUGGGAACUGCAUCUGUGACUGCAUCGCUGGAGUGCGGCAGAGGGGGAUGGAAUUCCGCGUGUAGCAGUGAAAUGCGUAGAUAUGCGGAGGAACACCGAUGGCGAAGGCAAUCCCCUGGGCCUGCACUGACGCUUAUGCACGAAAGCGUGGGGAGCAAACAGGAUUAGAGACCCCUGUAGUCCCUGUCUCUUAUAC